rnacentral:rRNA from 1 species
UACGUAGGGUGCGAGCGUUAAUCGGAAUUACUGGGCGUAAAGCGUGCGCAGGCGGUUUUGUACGCCAGAUGUGAAAGCCCCGGGCUCAACCUGGGAAUGGCAUUUGGGACUGCAAGGCUUGAGUGCGGCAGAGGAGACUGGAAUUCCUGGUGUAGCAGUGAAAUGCGUAGAUAUCAGGAGGAAUACCGAUGGCGAAGGCAGGUCUCUGGGCUGACACUGACGCUCAUGCACGAAAGCGUGGGGAGCAAACAGG